rnacentral:lncRNA from 1 species
GGGGGAUAAAGUUUUGAGGUUUACACAAAAGCAAAGGGAAAUUAACCGGUGAAGCUUGGUGGCUUGUAGGCAAUGAAACUGAUGCACUGGACUUGACGGGUGUUGUCGAAUCCGAUGAUCCUAAUGAAGGCAUUGGGGUACUCCUUCUUGCACUCUUCCACUUCCUUCAACACUUGAGCGGAGUCGGUGCAACCGAACAAGGGAAGCUUCCACAUUGUCCAGUACCGUCCAUCAUAGUAUCCGGGUGAGUUACCGUGCUCACGGUACACAAAUCCGUGCUAUACAAACCACAUGUUACAAACCACUCAGAUAACAUUUUGAACAUGUUUAUAUAAAUCAAGAUCCUAAUAUAUUAAACCAAAUUUUCCUAAGAUCUAGCUAGUUUAUAUAGAUGUUUAAAUUUUGUUUAAUUACCUCCAACUCGAAUUCAACACAAGGAAUCCACUUGUUGCGGAUAAGGUAGUCAACUUCCUUAGCCAAUUCGGAAUCGGUAAGGUCAGGAAGGUAAGAGAGAGUCUCAAACUUCUUCUUUCCAAUCGGAGGCCACACCUAUUUUUUCGAUUUUUCCAAUGAUAUUAGUUUAUGUAGAUUCGAAGAAAGAACCGAAAAAAAUCAUAUGGAAUAAUAAAAAAGUGAAAGAAGAAAUAUAAAUGACCUGCAUGCAGUUAACUCUUCCGCCGUUGCUUGUGAUGGAAGUAAUGUCGUUGUUAGCCUUGCGGGUGGCUGGGAAGGCAGCGGAGGACUUAAGUCCGUUGAAAGGAGCGACCAUAGUGGCCUGAGCCGGAGAGGCAACCAUAGUAGCGGAAGAGAGCAUAGAGGAAGCCAUUGUUCUUCUUUACUCUUU